rnacentral:rRNA from 1 species
AGCUAACGCGUUAAGUCGACCGCCUGGGGAGUACGGCCGCAAGGUUAAAACUCAAAUGAAUUGACGGGGGCCCGCACAAGCGGUGGAGCAUGUGGUUUAAUUCGAUGCAACGCGAAGAACCUUACCUACUCUUGACAUCCAGAGAACUUAGCAGAGAUGCUUUGGUGCCUUCGGGAACUCUGAGACAGGUGCUGCAUGGCUGUCGUCAGCUCGUGUUGUGAAAUGUUGGGUUAAGUCCCGCAACGAGCGCAACCCUUAUCCUUUGUUGCCAGCGAUUCGGUCGGGAACUCAAAGGAGACUGCCAGUGAUAAACUGGAGGAAGGUGGGGAUGACGUCAAGUCAUCAUGGCCCUUACGAGUAGGGCUACACACGUGCUACAAUGGCAUAUACAAAGAGAAGCGACCUCGCGAGAGCAAGCGGACCUCAUAAAGUAUGUCGUAGUCCGGAUUGGAGUCUGCAACUCGACUCCAUGAAGUCGGAAUCGCUAGUAAUCGUGGAUCAGAAUGCCACGGGGAAUACGUUCCCGGGCCUUGUACACACCGCCCGUCACACCAUGGGAGUGGGUUGCAAAAGAAGUAGGUAGCUUAA